rnacentral:misc_RNA from 1 species
ACACAUUUGAUGUGAUCUACAGCCGUGACACUAUCCUUCAUAUACAAGAUAAACCCGCAUUAUUCAAAAGUUUCUUCAACUGGUUGAAGCCCGGAGGGAAGGUUCUCAUCAGUGAUUAUUGCAAGAGCUCUGGAACACCAUCUGAGGAGUUUGCAGAGUAUAUUAAGCAGAGAGGGUAUGAUUUGCAUGAUGUAGAGGCUUACGGCCAGAUGCUCAAGGAUGCUGGGUUUCAUGAGGUUAUAGCCGAAGAUAGGACUG